ACCUCACGAGUCACAAUUGAACCAGCCCAGCCGGCAGCCGAUUCACUUGCGUUCCUCUUCUUCUCUCCCACUACAAACCCUAGCCGCCGCUCACCACCCGCCGUUGUGGUCUGCCUGAUGCCCCAUGAGACGCGAGUCCCCGGCGGCCGGCGCGCAGCGAGGCGCACCACGCGCCCCUGACCGAUGAAGUCCGGCGCUCCGAGCCGCGGCCCUGACCAGUGAAGACCGGCGCCCCGCACCGCCAUCCCCGACCCCUUGUUGGUCGCUCCACUGCCCGUGACGCGGCCGUCCGCUGCUAGUGCUCCACCUCCCGACUGCCGGUUCAGUAGUUGCAGUCCUCUUCCAUGUUGUUUGCCUACUUGCCGCCUACUGACCUCUUUCUGUUCUUCACAUUGCAACUAAAGCUGAAUCUGAAUCUGAACAUCAUGAUGAGGAGUUGAAUGAGAGAGAUUAUGCCUAUCUAGAGGCAGAUGCAGAUUCAGGAGCAGCUUCUGUAGUCAUUUGGGUUGUUCUGCAGACAUGGACCCUCUUAUUACUAUAUGAUCUAUGUAUCAACAUUAAAUCGGCCUUGCAAAUGGAAUAUUUGUUUUCUAUUUAUUUCUGCA